UCACACACCCGACACCAUCCCAGACCGUACAAGGAGAGGGAAGAGGAGAUAGAACAGGAUGAUGAAAGGAGUGUGAGGAAAAGGGAAUGGAAAGGAGGAAAGUCACGGAAGAAAGAGUGUUAAUAUUGUAUUGACUUAAAGAUGCAGUGCGGGAUCUUAAAAGCUCAAUUUUACUCAAAGAUAUAUUUCGUUUUUUCUUCAUCAAUCCACACAUUCCCCAAUGCCGGCGGUCAUGUUUUCAAAAUAGCAUGCUGUGUUUUAUGAAAUUAUUUGCACACUACAAAUUUGAAAUAAUGCUCUAAAAUUUUUUGGUAAUAUUUGGCCUGUAGUUUUGGCUUGCCUGAAAAAAUCACCAGUCUGUAAAUGAGCUAAUCAAAAAGAUAGUUUUCAGUUUCCCCUACCUACUGAGAUCACUCCCACACAAAUCAAGUAAAAAUCUUUCUUGAAAAAUAGUUCAAUGCUAAGAUGCUAUUUUGGUUUAUUUUUGACUAUUUUAAUUGAAAACAAAAACAAUAAAAAAAAGACAUUUUCACCAAUAAGUUAUUUGAUGCUGAGAUACAGAUAACAUCGACAUAAGGUCUUACAUAUUUGUAACAUAUAACUGCAAAACAUUCCUACACAUGUAAUGGUGUUUUAAACCACUGUGCAAACCCCUAAAGGGAAUUAUUUUGAUUUGUUAGAAUUUAAAAACUACUGUCUGAAAUUGAUUUCACCCAGCCCAGACCUUGUGUCCAGCAUCUUGUGAUCUCGUUCAGGGGUUCAGAUCACAAAAUGCCCAGGGUUCAAGCCCAUAUUGGGAAUAAGACAUGAUUUAAUCCCAGAGGUAGAGGGUGUAAAAUGAGAAGGCUUAUAAAGGCAAGUCUGAGCUCAAGCCUGGUCCCCUGACAUCAAUAGCCAUAGAGGUAGGUGAUUAUAGGAAACACAGAUGAUGGACCACUACCACACAGACACACACCUUUGUUUUCAAAAUGUUGACAAUAUGAAUUUGAACAUUUCUCUCUGGGGGAUCCUUAACUCACAAACGUCUGUGGUGAUUGGUGGAUGGGAUAAUGGGCUAUUGUAUCUAUUGUGUUAUUUGACCAAAAUCUUUUAUUUUAAAAUUAUAAAUAAAUACAUGAUACUUAAUUUAAUCCGAAUAGAACCGGAAAACAAUACGUCCAAAAAUAAAUUCAUGUUUUUUUUUUAUAUCAAACUGGAACAAAGUUCUAGUUGUAGGUGUUUCCUCUUCGUAGUUUUUUCCCACAUUUUGAUACCGUCUGUUGUUGAUUUACCAAUGCUACAUAAUGUGAUCGUUAUCUCACAACUACUUGUCUAUGGUCCUGGAAUGGAGAGAUGUCCCAAUCUAACCGUUGUAGCAGUUAACGCUAGCUCGUACAGCCUAUUAAGCCUUAUGGGGCGAUAUUUGAAUAGUGUGAUAGGAACAAUGGUGUUUAUUUGACACUCUGGGCUAGCGGACAUGGACAGUUGUUCACGUUCCUGUGAAAAUAACAUACUGGGCAAAAACGUACAGGAAAUCUGAAAUCCCGUGGCAUAUUGACGAACUGGAUACAUGUUCAUGGAACAUGAUAGAUAACAGCGUUAGUCAUGUUUCCGUUUGAUUCCCUGAAGUCCUUGAUGGUCACACCGGGGGAAGCUGCUAUGCUGCGUAGUUCCUCUUCACGGUAAUGCAUGCGCACGCCGGCCAGUAUUCAGAACCCUUAUAUGGAAGCUGCUCCAUGAUGUCGUCUGCAGGCUCGGAGACCGAUAGAAAAAUCAUACGAAACCAAAGUCAUACUGUUAAGGCUGAAUGCUAUCACCUGGCAAACACCAUCCCAAUGGUGAACCAUGGUGAUGGAAGCAUCAAUGUAGCAAAAUACAGAGAGGUCCUUGAAGAUGAACCUGAUCUAGAGCCAAGACAAUACAGGUGUCUUGUCUGAGAAGGUCCCCUUCAAAGACAAUACUGGUGUCUUAUCUGAGAAAGUCCCCUUCCAGGGACAAUACUGGUGUCUUGUCUGAGAAUGUCCCCUUCCAAGACAAUACUGGUGUCUUGUCUGAGAAUGUCCCCUUCCAAGACAAUACUGGUGUCUGGUCUGAGAAUGUCCCCUUCCAAGACAAUACUGGUGUCUUGUCUGAGAAUGUCCCGAAACCACUCCAGACUUGAACCUCAUUCAACAUCUGUGGGGAGCCCUGAAGAUCACAGCUCACGUACACUCCAUUCUGACAGAGCGUUAGAGCAACUACAAGCAGGAAUGGGAGCACUUUCCCAAACAGAGGUGUACAACACUGCUACAGGCAUACUCAAGAGGACUCAAAGCUGAGAUCACUGCCAAAGGCAGGUGGUAAUGGAUUUUGACUAGUUUGAUUGAUUGUUCCAAGAAGUCCACAAUUUAAUGUAACAUAAGAUUUUAAUUUAAGUAAAGAGAGUAUUCAAUUGCAUUACACGUUUUAAAGAUAGUGAUUCUCCAGAGAUUUGAGGUUGCAAGAGCAAAGAUGCAUUCAUGGAAACAGAGGAAAAUGCAAGAGAGUUUACAAAAUCUCUCUGUUUAUAACACAAAAUGUGGAUUUGGGGGAUGUUUUACAACCACUUAACCCACUACAGUAUCAGCGGACAAAUUCCAAUAGAACAGCAGAAAUAUGUCUUCUGCUCUGUUCAUGUAGAUUAGUUACACCUCUGUGUGCAUGUUUGUUUGUUUCACUCUUGUCACUAGUAGGAAUAAAGUAUGUCUGACAUUAGUCUGUUAUGUCUCUUAGUUUUUAUAUUCAUGUUUUCAUAUCAGCUAUCAUGACGGCUACUCAGAGACAAUGUUAGACCCUUCCUGGGUGGUCUGUUUAAAUCAUCUACCAAGCCCAAACAACUUAUCCAUUACAUUUGGACAAGCA